rnacentral:lncRNA from 1 species
GUAUUUAUUUUAUUAGUAUUUAAUUUGUAUUGUUUCAUUGGUUUCUGAUAAGUCUGUAUCACUGUGACGAUUUGAGACAACUUGUUGUAUUGAGGGACUUUCUUCACCUCCUUUCUUUGUCUUUCUUGAUCAAGCUCUGAAGCUGUUUCCUCCCUCUGAAAAAGUUACUCCCAGGUUUUUUUCCACCACUGGGGAGGAGGCAGGGAAGGGUGGGGGCCAUUGACUUGUAAAACUAAUGAAGGUGGUUGGUGCUGGCCCAGGUGUGGGGGCUUGGGGGUGAAUCCUGAGGCUUUGGUGCUCACCCCCCCAAUCCCACCCCCCGACCCCCGUUCAUCCCCCCUGCCCUUUGCAGCAGCCCUGCUGUUUGGAGAUGCUUGUUUACUGGGGGAGGGGAGGAUUGUGGGAGUAAGGGGUUAUUAAUAGGUUACUCUAAUGGAGAGUUGAGAAUGGGUCUUGAAGGUCGCCUCCUCCUCACCGUCCUCACUGCCCUCAGAGUGCACAAUAUAGGUUUGUUCCACAGUUUCUUCCCCUGCACCCCUGGCCACCCUACCCGACCCGGGCCUUGCCCUCCCUGGAUACUGAGCCUCUCAGCUCCCUCUUGCGCUUGUCCCCAUCUCUCCUUCUUGCCUUUGAAGCAUCCCUUUCUCUUCUCUCUGUCCUCAGCUCCUUCUCCCUCUGCCCACUCCCCCAAUUCUUCUUUGGUAUUCCCAGAGGGCUCUGGGAUUUCCUGCCAGAUGUUGAACCCAGGCCUCAGCUGUUUUGUAGGUGAGGGCAGGAGACUGGUCUCCCGCCAGGCCCCACUCCUGCUUGGGGACGGGGGGGGGCUGCGGGCCCGGCCCUACCAGGUCUCCCUCUCAGCGCUGGGUUUGUUGGUGGAGAGAGAGAAGGAGGGGUUUGGGCUGCUUCCUUGCCCCAGCCCCCUCUGUGGCAUUGUCUUUCCCACUCUUGUUCUUAUUUUUCUACCAAUUGCUAUUUUUCCGAACAAUCCUUGUAGAGAGUAUGUACCAUCCAAAAGCAGGAGGGCCUCCCUACGGCCAGCUCUGGUUGGAGAUGGUACAG